rnacentral:rRNA from 1 species
AGGGCACCACCAGGAGUGGAGCCUGCGGCUUAGUUUGACUCAACACGGGAAAACUCACCCGGCCCGGACACCGUAAGGAUUGACAGAUUGAGAGCUCUUUCUUGAUUCGGUGGUUGGUGGUGCAUGGCCGUUCUUAGUUGGUGGAGCGAUUUGUCUGGUUUAUUCCGAUAACGAGCGAGACUCUAGCCUACUAAAUAGUGACCGGAUAGCUUGGUCCGGGUCACUUCUUAGAGGGACAAGCGGUGUUCAGCCGCAAUAAGUUGAGCAAUAACAGGUCUGUGAUGCCCUUAGAUGUCCGGGGCUGCACGUGCGCUACACUGGAGGAAUCAGCGUGCUUGACCCAUUGCCGAAAGGCAUUGGUAAACCCUUGAAAAUCCUCCGUGAUCGGGAUCGGGAAUUGCAAUUAUUUCCCUUGAACGAGGAAUUCCCAGUAAGUGUGAGUCAUCAGCUCACGUUGAUUACGUCCCUGCCCUUUGUACACACCGCCCGUCGCUGCCCGGGACUGAGCCGUUUCGAGAA